GUCUUAUUAGUAUAAUAGUAUGUUUGAUUUCCAAUCAGGAGGUUCUUGUUUAAUAGUCAAGAAUAGGGCA
rnacentral:tRNA from 1 species